ensembl:lncRNA
CUGAACCUCCACACAGAUGUGGCUGUGUUUAAACAGCGGUCAGUGUCUGUAAACCCUGAGAUAUCGCAGCCGUACCUGCAGCCAUCUGGGAAAACAAACUGGAAAAGAAGAUCAGCGAUGGAUCUUAAAAAUAAAUGUAGGUGUGACAGAAGAAGAGUUUUCUCUCAUCUCGCGCAUCCAAGCAUGUGCCAAGUGUUGCCACGGUAACCCAGAGUGAACGAUGAUGCAUGACAAACAGCGGAGAAUCAGACGGAGGGUUUGUUGAACUGAAGGUUGUGAGGAAGGACGUUUGUGUCUGUGCUUGAAGCGACAGCUUCAGUGUGAACGAAUGCAGAGCGACAGAGUUGUAAAUGAAGCCUGCGGACACGCGAUCGUCUGUCAUGAACACACACCGCUGCAGGGAAGGGC